rnacentral:rRNA from 1 species
UACGUAGGGGGCGAGCGUUGUCCGGAUUUAUUGGGCGUAAAGAGCGUGUAGGCGGUUCGGUAAGUCUGUCGUGAAAUCCUGAGGCUCAACCUCGGGCGUGCGAUGGAUACUGCCGGGCUAGAGGGUGGUAGAGGCGAGUGGAAUUCCCGGUGUAGCGGUGAAAUGCGCAGAUAUCAGGAGGAACACCUAUUGCGAAGGCAGCUCGCUGGGACGUAACUGACGCUGAGACGCGAAAGCGUGGGGAGCAAACAGG